AGAGUUUGAUCCUGGCUCAGAAUCAACGCUGGCGGCGUGCCUCAGACAUGCAAGUCGAACGCGAAAGAGGGCUUCGGCCCUCGAGUAGAGUGGCGCACGGGUGAGUAACACGUGGGUAAUUCACCUUCGGGUGGGGAAUAACAGCCGGAAACGGCUGCUAAUACCGCAUAAUGCAGCGGCUCCUAAUGGAGAAUAGUUGUUAAAGCGGGGGAUUCUUCGGAACCUCGCGCCUGAAGAGAAGCCUGCGGCGGAUUAGCUAGUUGGUGAGGUAAUGGCUCACCAAGGCUGCGAUCCGUAACCGGCCUGAGAGGGCGGUCGGUCACACUGACGCUGGAAUACGGGUCAGACUCCUACGGGAGGCAGCAGUCGGGAAUUUUGGGCAAUGGGCGCAAGCCUGACCCAGCAACGCCGCGUGAAGGAUGAAAUCCCUCGGGAUGUAAACUUCGCAAGAACGGGAAGAAUAAGCCUGAGCGAAUAGCUGCGGGCGAUGACGGUACCGUUUGUAAGCUCCGGCUAACUCCGUGCCAGCAGCCGCGGUAAUACGGGGGGAGCAAGCGUUGUUCGGAUUUACUGGGCGUAAAGGGCGCGUAGGCGGCCACCGCAAGUCACUUGUGAAAUCUCCGGGCUUAACUCGGCAGCGGUCAAGUGAUACUGCGGGGCUAGAGUGCGGAAGGGGCAACUGGAAUUCUCGGUGUAGCGGUGAAAUGCGUAGAUAUCGAGAGGAACACUGCGGCGAAGGCGGGUUGCUGGGCCGACACUGACGCUGAGGCGCGAAAGCUAGGGGAGCGAACGGGAUUAGAUACCCCGGUAGUCCUAGCCUUAAACGAUGGAUGCUUGGUGUCUGGGGUUUGAAAGUCCCCGGGUGCCGUCGCUAACGCUGUAAGCAUCCCGCCUGGGGAGUACGGUCGCAAGACUGAAACUCAAAGGAAUUGACGGGGACCCGCACAAGCGGUGGAGCAUGUGGUUUAAUUCGACGCAACGCGAAGAACCUUACCUAGGCUGGACAUGCACGUAGUAGGAGGGUGAAAGCCCAACGAGGUAGCAAUACCAGCGUGCUCAGGUGCUGCAUGGCUGUCGUCAGCUCGUGCCGUGAGGUGUUGGGUUAAGUCCCGCAACGAGCGCAACCCCUGUCUUCAGUUACCAACGGGUCAUGCCGGGAACUCUGGAGAGACUGCCCAGGAGAACGGGGAGGAAGGUGGGGAUGACGUCAAGUCAGCAUGGCCUUUAUGCCUAGGGCUACACACGUGCUACAAUGGCCGGCACAAAGCGCUGCAAACCCGCAAGGGGGAGCCAAUCGCAAAAAACCGGCCUCAGUUCGGAUCGAGGUCUGCAACUCGACCUCGUGAAGGCGGAAUCGCUAGUAAUCCCGGAUCAGCACGCCGGGGUGAAUACGUUCCCGGGCCUUGUACACACCGCCCGUCACACCACGAAAGUUCGUUGUACCUGAAGUCGUCGACGCCAACCGCAAGGAGGCAGACGCCCACGGUAUGACCGAUGAUUGGGGUGAAGUCGUAACAAGGUAGCCGU
rnacentral:rRNA from 1 species